GAGUGGGGUGCUCAUUUUCGCCAUAUCUUUCCAUGUUUUCCACAGUUUAUGUUCAGGUCUAUAUGUUUUUGAAGUAUACUGAUAUUUCUACAUGAAGAUAACUUCAAAUGCAAAAUAUUCUUAAGCUUGAAAACGUGUUUGUUUGAAAAUAAUCAUCUGAAAAGUUAGAUUAAAGGGUGUUUGAAAUUGCCUGAUGUGUCAAUGGGGACACAUAUUCGCCGUUUUUAUACAUCUAUUUAUAACCCAAAUAACUGUAGCUUUAAACAAUAUUUUUCAAAUCAAUUUCAUUAUAGAUGGCAAUAGCAGACAUUUUAAAGGUGUACAGAACUGAAAUUUAGGGCAAUCAGUCAAAGAUUUACUAAGAAAUACUUCUUUGAAAUCGUGUUAUUCAUUCAGAAAAUUGGUCGAAAAUCGUUAUUCAAUUUUCGGUCCUUUGCGUUAAGUGCCGCAAUUUUGUCGUAGUUUAAAAUAAAAUCAUAUUUGUUAUAAAAAUCUUAGUUGCCGGCAUAUUUCUUCCAUUUCAGCCAUCUUUUGAAGUAUUUACAACUCAAAAUUAUAAAACGGCGAAAUUGUGUCCCCGGCGAAUAUGCGCACCCCACUCUAUAUGUUUAUCCACAUUUAAGUUUUAAGUUUAAUUUCUUAUUGAAAUUGUUAGUAAUCUCUUAAGCUCCCAUGAUAAGUUUAUACUCCUGAGAUUUAAUAAUCAUGGUUUUACACUAGUUAUUUUUUAGGACCUUUAUAGCUUGCUGUUUGGUGUAAGCCAAGGCUCUGUGUUCAAGGCCAUACUUUGACCUAUAAUGAUUUAUUUUUAACAAAUUGUGACUUGGAUGGAGAGCUGUCUCAUAGUAUACUCAUGCCAUAUCUUCUUAUAUCUAUGACAUAUGUAUUUUAAUCAAAUUUCUUAAUAGACCUUGAUUUGUUAUAUUGACAAAAAUAAACAUUACAGGGUAAAAUUAAUUCAGAAACAGAAAUUUUUGUUUCAAAUUUUUCUUUCUUCUCUGUUUUUUAAGUUUUUCAGUGUAAUGUUCUUGAAGAAUUUUACAUUUUAUCAUAUUAACGUCUGCUUUUAAAGUUUAAUAAAGUGUCUUUCAGAAACUACAUGUAACAGGUUGCAAAUUAUUUUUAUGAUAAAAUUUAUUUUGCAUUUAGUUUAUUUGUCAUAUUUUAAUAUUGAAUUUACAGAUUCAUGUUGAUAUUUAUAUAUAUAAGCUGUCCCAGUACUAUUUGACCUGCUUCUUUAUUGCUGUUAUAUUUUAGAAACUAUUGAGAAAAUGCAAUUGUUUGGUGCAUUCUUCACAUUAUCUAACCUUUGACCCUCAAACUUUACAUAUAAAUGCCUUGGAUGUUUUUGCUGUACUGAGUACUAGAGGUCAGCAGUAAGAUCUUUUAAGUAUGGUCAAACCAAAGACUUGAAAAUGGGUUUCGAUGCUUCUUUGCUUACCAAGCAAUAUUAAAAAGUAAAACCUUGUAUUCCUGCUGCAUAGUUAACUAGAAGAAAGGUUUAUGUGCUUUAUGGUAUAGCUGGAAUUUUCAUGGAGUACUAUUUUUUGCCUAAUUUUGUUGUAAUACAGAUAUCAUGAUAUAAAAACCACCUGCUACUUGUAAUAAUUUAUGUAAAAUAUUUAAAGUGCCUAUUUAAAUCGAUGAACACUAUUUGAAAUAAGAUUUUUUAUAAAAUUCUAGAGUGGGGUGCUCAUUUUCGCCAUAUCUUUCCAUGUUUUCUACAGGUCUAUAUGUUUUUGAAGUAUACUGAUAUUUCUAUAUGAAGAUAACUUCUAAUGCAAAACAUUCCUAAGCUUGAAAACAUGUUUGUUUGAAAAUAAUCAUCUGUAAAGUUAGAUUAAAAGGUGUUUGAAAUUUCCUGAAGUUUUGUCAAUGGGGGACACAUAUUCGCCGUUUUUACACAUCUAUUAAAAACCAAAUAACUGCAGCUUUAUAUAAUAUUUAUCAAAUAAAUUUCAUUAUAGAUGAACAGCAGACAUUUCAAAGGUGUAAAAAACAGAAAUUUAGGCCAAGCAGUCAAAAAAAUGCUCAGAAAAAAGUCUAUGAAAAUCCUGUUUUUCAUUCAGGAAAUUGACCGAAAAUAAAAUUAUAAUUUAUUGGCAUAUUUCUUCCAUUUCAGCCAUCCUUUGAAGUGUUUACACCUCAAAAUCAAAAAACGGCGAAAUUGUGUCCACGGCGAAUAUGGGCCCCCCACUCUAUAUGACUGGUGGCAAGUUAUUGAUAUUUUUGCUCAGAG
rnacentral:lncRNA from 1 species